AAAAAAAUAAUCAUUUUUGUUUUUCUCCUUCUUCGGUUCCGUCUCUCCUCUCUCUCUUUCUCCGACGACGAAAGCAAAACGAGAAGUGACGAUCCGUCACCGGCGCUGGCACCAUCGACGAUUUUUUCUAGUUCAUCAAAUCGGAACCAUGUCCGUUCACCCAAUCGGAGAUUCAAGUGGCCAAAAUCGGACAGUUUGGUUCAAUGAUGCUCCAAUCUCUUUAUCUGGGUUCUAUGAUGUUAGCAGAGUGGGAAUUGAGAAUUGGAGAUUGAUCAGAUCCUACUUGCUUCUGCUGAUGCUAACUUCACUAGUGGAGAGUUUGCUACUGCUUUGAGAAAUGUCAGCUCUAGGCUUUUCAAAUUUUCAGAAUUUUGGGAUUGUUGCUGUUGGAAGUUUUAUCUGAGAUUUGGGGAAAUAAGGGUUUGUAAUCUCUUUGCUUUAGAUGCUUUUAUGAAAUAGUGAGUUUUUAGUAUAUAUAUUGCUGCUCUUUUGAUGCUUGAGCUUUACUGAAAUUUUCCUUGUUUACUUAUUUGCAUGUCUGGGAUAUUCGUACCAAGAUGCAAAUUUUUGCACUCUCAGGACAUGAGAAUACCGUUUGUUCUGUUUUCACUUGUCCAACCGAUCCACAAGUUGUCACUAGAUCCCAUGACACGACCAUUUUUAUUGGGACCUUCGAUAUGGAUCUGUGAAGAUGUUCUCCGCUUAGAACAAGAUCAAGAAGGAUAAAAAUGCUGAACCAACAGAGUGCCAGGAGCAAGUUGCUCAGGCAUAUGGAUAUCUCUGGAAACCACAAAGUUGUUGUGAUUUAGUUACGUCCCAUUCAGAAGGAUAAUGCGUCCUCCCAAGAAAGGUGCUGCUGUUCAGAGGCCACGUAAUAGGACUCUAACCUCUGUUCAUGAAACAAUGCUCGAAGAUGUUGCUUUCCCCGCUGAGAUUGUUGGAAAGCGUACUUGUUACCGUCUUGAUGGUUCCAAGAUUAUCAAAUAUUUUUAGUUUGAAAACAAUAUUUUUCAAAAAUAAGAAUCUCAUUAAGAACUUGACCAUUGGAGGGGAUAA